AAGUCGUAACAAGGUUUCCGUAGGUGAACCUGCGGAAGGAUCAUUAACACUUUUUAUCCAAAAAAUAAAACUAAACGUGAACUUUUCCCCUCCCUAUAUCAAUUUACAAAAAAACUGAUAUAGGCUAACCUUUUUUAUUUUAUUUAAAACCACUUAAAUUUUUUAUAAGUCUUAUUGUUUGUAAAGCUUAACUGCCUACAAAUAAUUAAAAAAAAAGACUGACUAACUAAAAAUUUUACUUAAGAUGUCACUAUGUUGAUCUCUUAAUUAAUAUUUUUUCUUUACGAAAUAAAUAUUACUAUAUAAGAACAACUCUUAGCAAUGGAUAUCUUGGUUCUC
rnacentral:misc_RNA from 1 species